rnacentral:rRNA from 1 species
GGAAGCAGCUUGCUGCUUCGCUGACGAGUGGCGGACGGGUGAGUAAUGUCUGGGAAACUGCCUGAUGGAGGGGGAUAACUACUGGAAACGGUAGCUAAUACCGCAUAACGUCGCAAGACCAAAGAGGGGGACCUUCGGGCCUCUUGCCAUCGGAUGUGCCCAGAUGGGAUUAGCUAGUAGGUGGGGUAACGGCUCACCUAGGCGACGAUCCCUAGCUGGUCUGAGAGGAUGACCAGCCACACUGGAACUGAGACACGGUCCAGACUCCUACGGGAGGCAGCAGUGGGGAAUAUUGCACAAUGGGCGCAAGCCUGAUGCAGCCAUGCCGCGUGUAUGAAGAAGGCCUUCGGGUUGUAAAGUACUUUCAGCGGGGAGGAAGGCGAUAAGGUUAAUAACCUUGUCGAUUGACGUUACCCGCAGAAGAAGCACCGGCUAACUCCGUGCCAGCAGCCGCGGUAAUACGGAGGGUGCAAGCGUUAAUCGGAAUUACUGGGCGUAAAGCGCACGCAGGCGGUCUGUCAAGUCGGAUGUGAAAUCCCCGGGCUCAACCUGGGAACUGCAUUCGAAACUGGCAGGCUA